GACGAACGCUGGCGGCGCGCUUAACACAUGCAAGUCGAGCGAGAACCAGUCCUUCGGGACUGGGGACAGCGGCGAACGGGUGAGUAACACGUGGGUAAUCUGCCCUCGGCACCGGAAUAGCCCGGGGAAACCCGGAUUAAUGCCGGAUGGCCUCUCGAGCUCUCGAGCGCGAGAGAAAAGGUAGCUUCGGCCUCCGGCCGAGGAUGAGCCCGCGGCCGAUUAGCUUGUUGGUGGGGUAACGGCCCACCAAGGCAACGAUCGGUAGCUGGUCUGAGAGGACGAUCAGCCACACUGGGACUGAGACACGGCCCAGACUCCUACGGGAGGCAGCAGUGGGGAAUCUUGCGCAAUGGGCGAAAGCCUGACGCAGCGACGCCGUGUGCGGGAAGAAGGCCCUCGGGUUGUAAACCGCUUUCAGGAGGGACGAAGCCACUCGGGUUAAUAGCCUAGAGGGUGACGGUACCUCCAGAAGAAGCCCCGGCUAACUACGUGCCAGCAGCCGCCGUAAGAC
rnacentral:rRNA from 1 species